AAGGAUUUAAGUUAAAAAAACUAAAGGUCUUCAAAACCUUCAUUGGUCUAAUGCCAAUCCUUGAUGCUCCAUG
rnacentral:tRNA from 1 species